rnacentral:lncRNA from 1 species
AUGCGCAAGGAAUCCGGAUCGUCGAGUGGACAAGCCGGAGGAGAUACGCGUUUGAAGGGUGUGCUUUAAAGGUGAGGUGGAUCUUAACCCGGAUGGCGAUCAAGAAUAUUUUCGAGAACCGAACACUGCACGUUGAAGCUUCCGCGCUUACCUAGUCUUGUCAAAAACAAUGCUUUAUAUUGUAUUUACUUGAUUUGAUAUUU